UGCUGCUAUACAACAGAGGACAAACUUUCCGAACGACAGCUCAUUCGCCACGAUUCGGUCCAGCAGGAAAAACGCGAGUGCGAAGAAAAGCGGACGUGAUUUACCAGUUUUGAUAAACGAUUGAAGUUUGAGAUAUAUUGAGACCAAAAGUAAGUGUAAAGUAGAUAUUAUAACCUGAAUACGGUCGAGUUCGCUUUCAAGUAUACAACAAGUGCGUAGUCAAAAUUUCUACUAUCACAGCGGGUGCACCAGAAUUGGGUUACAAGACAAUAUCUUUGUGCUGUUCAUUUUGCAUCGAUAGAGUGCAGAAAAACCUACCCUUGUCGGCAUUGGUAACCGACUUAAAAGAAAGCAAAGCCGAAAAAAAUAGUAAAGUGCGUAAAAUAGGUUAGCGCCUGUCUAAUAAAGUUGGUGCCGAAUGCGGAAUGGUCGGUGAAAAUUGCGACAGAUGUAGAAACACAAGUUAAUAUAUUCGGUGCUUUAGCUAUACUUCCCAAGCUGUGAAAUGUAAUACAAGUAAUAGGUUUUCAAAUGCGCUAACAGUGGCAAUGUGUGUUCUAAUAAUGCAGCAAAAUGCAGAUGUGUGAUACUGCGUGAAUCAUAAUACUGAAAUGUUCACAAAUAUUCUGGCUGCCAACGACAAAUCGUGAAUCGAUCGGGAGAUACAUAUCACGCGACCACUUUGAAUAAGCAGUGGUCACCAUUGGAUUAUAUUGAGUAGAACGCAAUUAAAUAUUUACGCGUUGCCUGAGCAAAACCACAAGUCUCAACUUAAAAACAACUGCCUAGUUGAAACGUAAAUCAUACGGCGUCACCAUGCAUUCAUUCGGUAUUCAUUCGGCGUUGGCCAUCAAGCGCCAGCGGAAGCGGCGGGACAAUCAGCGCAAGGCCCGUGAACGCCGCUACAGUAUUCAAAGCACGGAAAGUUGGGAUACACACUCACCCCAUGGCUCGACUCGGCGAAAGUUCCACCCGCACAAAGUGCAUGUCACAGAUAAUAAUAACCUAGAUACCAAAGUAGUCACAAGCAUUGGUAUGCUUCAUAUAGGAGUUGUAUUUGUAGUAUUCGGAAUCUUUUUACUAGGUGCUGGAUUUUUUCCGGAUAAUUUAUCAAAUCAACCUACACAAUCGUGGCAUUGGCUGGGUAAAGACUCGUGGUGGAAUGAACUGGUAUGUACGGGACUGUUCGCCGUCGGCCUCGGUAUCUUUCUCAUCAUAUUAAACUGUGUGAUAAGUAAUCGGGAGGAACAGGACCUCGAGGACUACGUCCAGCGGCAACUCACGCGAUCGAGAUCGGGUCAUCGACUGGAACGCGAUGUCGAGACUGGUGGCCUUACAACACGCCAUCACCGCAAAGCCAUGCAAAUACAAAAAGGCGCUGCCGAGAGAGGUUUGGAUGAUCUCUCUAACUCGAACAUUCUUCUGACACCAACCAGCAGCGAAGUUGUCACUCCUACAACCCCUUCGGGAGUGUCCACCGUGUCUGUAAUACCCCUCAUGAGUUAUAAACCACAUGUUGAGAUAUUGAUGUGAUAUUACCGCAACGUUAUUCGUAUCGUCUCGUUCUAAGCCUCCAAGCUCGCAGUAACAUCAAUAGCCAAUACAUGCUAAAACAUCGGUAAUAACGAUAAUUACUCUAUUUAAUAUUUGCCACUAACAAUGAUGAAAGCAAUCACUACCAGAGAGUACAAACUAACCAUAAGUGUUUUAAAAUCUAAACCAUCAAUCCUAAUCUGAAUCCACUGUUCGAGUUGAGUGAUAAUUUUACCAGAAAUCGAAAAAAAAACAGAAGGUGACGAUUUCGUUUAACAGCAAACUACAUAGUGUGGAAAAAUCUCAUCUAAAACAAAAAUAAACUACGUUUGCAAGCUUUGGUACUAGGAGCAUCAGGAGAGAUUUUAUUGGAGAAGAUCCUGGAAGAAGACAGUAGCUACGGCGAUCCAGAUUGUUAUUCUCGUAACAACGGCCAAUCGCCACCAGGUGUGGACAACGACAAGCGGUUGCUACUCGGCAAUG